rnacentral:misc_RNA from 1 species
GAUGAAGAACGCAGCGAAAUGCGAUACGUAAUGUGAAUUGCAGAAUUCAGUGAAUCAUCGAAUCUUUGAACGCACAUUGCGCCCUUUGGUAUUCCUUAGGGCAUGCCUGUUCGAGCGUCAUUUGAAACCUCAAGCUCAGCUUGGUGUUGGGUGUCUGUCCCCGCCUCACCGCGGGGACUCGCCUCAAAAUCAUUGGCGGCCGGUACGUUGGCUUCGAGCGCAGCAGAAACGCGAACUCGAGGCCCGGCGGAUCGGCGACCAGAAGUCACUUCUUCACAGUUUGACCUCGGAUCAGGUAGGGAUACCCGCUGAACUUAAGCAUAUCAAUAAGCGGAGGA